GACGAACGCUGGCGGCGUGCUUAACACAUGCGAGUCGAACGGAAAGGCCCUGCUUUUGUGGGGUGCUCGAGUGGCGAACGGGUGAGUAACACGUGAGUAACCUGCCCUUGACUUUGGGAUAACUUCAGGAAACUGGGGCUAAUACCGGAUAGGAGCUCCUGCUGCAUGGUGGGGGUUGGAAAGUUUCGGCGGUUGGGGAUGGACUCGCGGCUUAUCAGCUUGUUGGUGGGGUAGUGGCUUACCAAGGCUUUGACGGGUAGCCGGCCUGAGAGGGUGACCGGCCACAUUGGGACUGAGAUACGGCCCAGACUCCUACGGGAGGCAGCAGUGGGGAAUAUUGCACAAUGGGCGGAAGCCUGAUGCAGCAACGCCGCGUGCGGGAUGACGGCCUUCGGGUUGUAAACCGCUUUCGCCUGUGACGAAGCGUGAGUGACGGUAAUGGGUAAAGAAGCACCGGCUAACUACGUA
rnacentral:rRNA from 1 species